rnacentral:rRNA from 1 species
CGAACGGCUCCGUAUAUCUAUUGUAACUUACCGCCACCGAGCAACAAAGGCGGAUAACCCAGGUAAUCCUUGGGCUAAUACGUGGUAGCAACGGGGCUUCGGCCCUGGUCUCACGGAUCCAAACCAACGGCCCCCUUAAAAGGGCGACUCGUGAGGGACUGUGAGGGCGCCUAACCGACCCGCAAGGGACGGUGUGUGCGAUAGACUUUAGACCUAUCAACUAGACGGCAGGGGCACGCCCCGCCGUGGUAACAACGGGUACAGAGGAUCAGGGUUCGGUUCUGGAGAGGUAGCCUUAGAAAUCGCUACCACUUCUAAGGAAGGCAGCAGGCGCGCAACGUUCCCAAUGGGGAUUCCCUGAGGACGUGACGGGACAUAUCAAUACUGGGCCCAUAAAGCCCGGUAAUUGAAAUGGGGGCGAUUUAAAUCCCCCACCGAGUAACAAUUGGAGGACAAGUCUG